GAUGAACGCUGGCGGCGUGCCUAAUACAUGCAAGUCGAGCGAACAGAUAAGGAGCUUGCUCCUUUGACGUUAGCGGCGGACGGGUGAGUAACACGUGGGUAACCUACCUAUAAGACUGGAAUAACUCCGGGAAACCGGGGCUAAUGCCGGAUAACAUUUAGAACCGCAUGGUUCUAAAGUGUAAGAUGGUUUUGCUAUCACUUAUAGAUGGACCCGCGCCGUAUUAGCUAGUUGGUAAGGUAACGGCUUACCAAGGCAACGAUACGUAGCCGACCUGAGAGGGUGAUCGGCCACACUGGAACUGAGACACGGUCCAGACUCCUACGGGAGGCAGCAGUAGGGAAUCUUCCGCAAUGGGCGAAAGCCUGACGGAGCAACGCCGCGUGAGUGAUGAAGGUCUUCGGAUCGUAAAACUCUGUUAUUAGGGAAGAACAAAUGUGUAAGUAACUGUGCACGUCUUGACGGUACCUAAUCAGAAAGCCACGGCUAACUACGUG
rnacentral:rRNA from 1 species